rnacentral:sRNA from 1 species
UCCAACCACGAUGUGGGUGUCAACGGGU